rnacentral:rRNA from 1 species
UAGGGAAUUUUCCGCAAUGGGCGCAAGCCUGACGGAGCAACGCCGCGUGCAGGAGGAAGGCCUUCGGGUUGUAAACUGCUUUUAUUGGUGACGAUUUUGACGGUAGCCAAUGAAUAAGGGUCUGCUAACUACGUGCCAGCAGCCGCGGUCAUACGUAGGACCCAAGCGUUAUCCGGAAUUACUGGGCGUAAAGAGUUGCGUAGGUGGCAUAGUAAGCAAAUAGUGAAAGCGUGAGGCUCAACCUCAUAUCCAUUAUUUGAACUACUAAGCUUGAGCAUGAGAGAGGUAGAUGGAAUUUCUAGUGUAGGAGUGAAAUCCGUAGAUAUUAGAAGGAACACCGAUGGCGUAGGCAGUCUACUGGCUCAUUGCUGACACUAAGGCACGAAAGCGUGGGGAGCGAACGGGAUUAGAUACCCCCGUAGUCC